rnacentral:rRNA from 1 species
UACAGAGGUCUCAAGCGUUGUUCGGAUUUAUUGGGCGUAAAGGGCGCGUAGGCGGCGGGGUAAGUCGGGUGUGAAAUCUCAGGGCUCAACCCUGAAACUGCACUUGAUACUGCUCUGCUUGAGGACUGGAGAGGAGACUGGAAUUCACGGUGUAGCAGUGAAAUGCGUAGAUAUCGUGAGGAAGACCAGUGGCGAAGGCGGGUCUCUGGACAGUUCCUGACGCUGAGGCGCGAAGGCCAGGGGAACAAACGGG